GAACUUAGCAGAGAUGCUUUGGUGCCUUCGGGAACUCUGAGACAGGUGCUGCAUGGCUGUCGUCAGCUCGUGUUGUGAAAUGUUGGGUUAAGUCCCGCAACGAGCGCAACCCUUAUCCUUUGUUGCCAGCGGUUAGGCCGGGAACUCAAAGGAGACUGCCAGUGAUAAACUGGAGGAAGGUGGGGAUGACGUCAAGUCAUCAUGGCCCUUACGAGUAGGGCUACACACGUGCUACAAUGGCGCAUACAAAGAGAAGCGACCUCGCGAGAGCAAGCGGACCUCAUAAAGUGCGUCGUAGUCCGGAUUGGAGUCUGCAACUCGACUCCAUGAAGUCGGAAUCGCUAGUAAUCGUGGAUCAGAAUGCCACGGUGAAUACGUUCCCGGGCCUUGUACACACCGCCCGUCACACCAUGGGAGUGGGUUGCAAAAGAAGUAGGUAGCUUAACCUUCGGGAGGGCGCUUACCACUUUGUGAUUCAUGACUGGGGUGAAGUCGUAACAAGGUAAGCGUAGUGCU
rnacentral:rRNA from 1 species